CCUACGGGAGGCAGCAGUAGGGAAUUUUCCACAAUGGGCGAAAGCCUGAUGGAGCAAUACCGCGUGCAGGAUGAAGGCCUUCGGGUCGUAAACUGCUUUUAUGUGCGAAGAAUUUGACGGUAACACAUGAAUAAGGAUCGGCUAACUACGUGCCAGCAGCCGCGGUCAUACGUAGGAUCCAAGCGUUAUCCGGAAUUACUGGGCGUAAAGAGUUGCGUAGGUGGCAUUAUAAGUGGAGCGUGAAAGCGUGCGGCUCAACCGCAUUAUUGCGUUCCAAACUGUGAAGCUUGAGUAUGGGAGAGGUAGAUGGAAUUUCUAGUGUAGGAGUGAAAUCCGUAGAUAUUAGAAGGAACACCGAUGGCGUAGGCAGUCUACUGGCCCAUUACUGACACUAAGGCACGAAAGCGUGGGGAGCAAACGGGAUUAGAUACCCCGGUAGUCCACGCUGUAAACUAUGGAUGCUAAGCUGUGACACACAUCGACCUGUGUCGUAGCGAAGUUAACGCGUUAAGCACUCCGCCGCGGAGGUACGGUCGCGAGAAGUAAACUAACGAAGAAGUAGACGGCGNGAGACGUGCGACGACGACGACGAGGGAGGAGG
rnacentral:rRNA from 1 species